GGCUCCUUGGCGGAAUUGGUAGACGCGCACGACUCAAAAUCGUGUAUUCGUAAGGAUGUCCGAGUUCGAUUCUCGGAGGAGCCACCA
rnacentral:tRNA from 1 species